rnacentral:tRNA from 1 species
GGGCGUGUAACUCAGCGGUUAGAGUGCCUCCCUUACAAGGAGGAAGUCGGGGGUUCGAGUCCCUCCACGCCCAC